AGACCGAUAGCGAACAAGUACCGUGAGGGAAAGAUGAAAAGCACUUUGGAAAGAGAGUUAAACAGUAUGUGAAAUUGUUGAAAGGGAAACGAUUGAAGUCAGUCGUGGGUCUUGCAUUCAGCUGGUUCUGCCAGUGUACUUGCUUGACCCGGGGUCAACAUCGGUUUUGACCGUCGGAAAAGGUUGGAGGGAAUGUAGCACUCUCGGGUGAACUUAUAGCCCUUUAACGUAUACGAUGGUCGGGACCGAGGAACGCAGCUUGCCUUUAUGGCCGGGGUUCGCCCACGUACAAGCUUAGGAUGUUGACAUAAUGGCUUUAAACGACCCGUCUUGAAACACGGACCAAG
rnacentral:rRNA from 1 species